GUCAGGAGUGGCCGAGCGGUCCUAAGGCGCCUGCGUUCAGGUCGCAGUCUCCCUGGGAGGCGUGGGUUCGAAUCCACUUCUGACA
rnacentral:tRNA from 1 species